AUACGUAGGUGGCAAGCGUUGUCCGGAAUUACUGGGUGUAAAGGGAGCGUAGGCGGGAAGACAAGUUGAAUGUUUAAACUAUCGGCUUAACCGGGAGUCGCGUUCAAAACUGUUUUUCUUGAGUGAAGUAGAGGUAGGCGGAAUUCCUAGUGUCGCGGUGGAAUGCGUAGAUAUUUGGAGGAACACCAGAGGCGAAGGCGGCUUACUGGGCCGUUACUGACGCUGAGGCACGAAAGCGUGGGGAGCAAACAGGAUUAGAUACCCUGGUAGUCCACGCCGUAAACGAUGAGCACUAAGUGUCGGAUGAAUUUUCGGCGCUGCAGUUAACACAAUAAGUGCUCCGCCUGGGGAGUACGGUCGCAAGACUGAAACUCAAAGGAAUCGGCGGGG
rnacentral:rRNA from 1 species